GCAGUUGGAUUUCGCCGGGGCUAACCCCCGGUAAGAAUAAGAUCCAUCCAGCCCCACCCAAAGCUUCCCCUAAUCCCCUCUCUUCUCCCCCUUCCCAGCAGCCAGCGCGCGGGUCGUCGCCCCCGCCACCGCCGAUCCACCCAACCCCAGAUCCGCGCGCGCAGAUGCGACCGUCGGCGAUACUCCGGUGUGCCCUCGCCGCGGCGGCGCUCGCGGCGCUCCUCUCCGCCCAGCCCGCCGCCGGGUUCUACCUCCCCGGCGUCGCUCCGACCGACUUCGCCAAGGUGGCUUUUCCUCUUGCGUCGACCUAGCGAGUGUACCCGAGCAGCCACCGCCGCGCUCGUAGGCGCUCGCGCUGGAUGGAUCUGGUCAACGGGGCGGCGGAUCUUGGCGCUGGUUCGUUCGCCGUUCGGUUGAUGUCGGCACGAUCCCGCCUCCACUGGUCCACCGGCGACGGCGAGGACCAGGUCGCGCUGCGCCUCCAGUCCCAGCUCAUGGUCGUGCUGCCCCCUCCCCACGACGUCGUCUCCGUCGAUCUGAAGCCGGCCAAGGACGGGGACGGGGUCGGGGUGGAGAUGCGGAUCGUCAGGAGAAGGGAGGCGCGGGCGCUCGGCUGCACGUAGACCACCGGAGACGGCGCCGUCGUUCUUGCGCGACUCAUCAGAUCCAACCUCGCGCCCGCGCCUGCUGCCGAUGGAGCCGUCUCCGCAGGCGUGCCUGUGCUUGCCGACCACUGCCGUUCUGUCACCGCGCUCAGCCUAUGCAAGUGCGCCCUCAUGCAAUGUUGCCUUGGGAGUACCAUGGCCUCAAGAGCUCGAUCCCGGCGAUCUGCUGGCGAGGUGCUGAUGAUGAUGGGGUUUGGCACAUUGGAGCAUGUGGGCGGUGGCGAGCAGGUGCACAGGAGAGCAGGAGCAUAGGCCGGCGACCAGCUAGGUGAGCAGGAUCCCGGUGGCCGGCGACGCGUUGGGCGAGCAAGAGCACACGAGUUUGAUUGCAGUCUCUGAGUUUGAUAGUGUGUAUUAAUAGCUGGAGUUUGCAUUGACUCUUUCAUAAAAUGAUCGCGAUCGACUUGUUAUAGUAUUUCAGUCCUAAUGUAUUCUAUAUUUUUUAAUGUACGGAUCGGCUUGUUAGAGUAUUUCAA